rnacentral:misc_RNA from 1 species
CCAAAAAAAAAAGGAAAGACUUCGACAUAAUAUCACUAACAGAAACCUACAGCUUUAAAAUUAUAAAAUUUUUGAACAAUUUGAAGCUAAACAGUAAAACUUAAAGGCAAACAAUCGGUAUCACCAAACAGCUCAGAAUGCACAAAGUUAGCAUUAUGAUCAUCUUUUCUACUAUAGGAUUCAUUCUCAAUAUGGACUGUUACAAUUUUCAUUCCAUUCAAUUAGACUAUAAAGUAUAUCCCUUGUAUAUAUAACGGAUUUAUUGUAACUGUUGAUUAUAGUGGGAUCCCACUAUAAU